rnacentral:rRNA from 1 species
UGGGGAAUAUUGGACAAUGGGGGAAACCCUGAUCCAGCAAUGCCGCGUGAGUGAAGAAGGCCUUAGGGUUGUAAAGCUCUUUCGCCCGCGAAGAUAACGACGGUAGCGGGAGAAGAAGCCCCGGCUAACUCCGUGCCAGCAGCCGCGGUAAUACGGAGGGGGCUAGCGUUGUUCGGAAUUACUGGGCGUAAAGCGUACGUAGGCGGAUGCGCAAGUUGGGGGUGAAAUCCCGGGGCUUAACCUCGGAAUUGCCCUCAAAAUUGCACGUCUUGAGACCGAGAGAGGUGAGGAGAAUUCCUAGUGUAGAGGUGAAAUUCGUAGAUAUUAGGAGGAACACCAGUGGCGAAGGCGCCUUACUGGCUCGGUACUGACGCUGAGGUACGAAAGCGUGGGGAGCAAACA